UGCAAUGUGAUUAAAAUGAAUUCAAGAAUUUGGCAAAUUUAUUUUUACCCAAAAGUAUUUGACAAACUAUUAUGAGAAACAUAUUUCGAAAGCGUCCCCCUCCAAAAGUUUUUUUUUUUCUUCCAACAAGCAACCUCUGUGACGAUUUCAACCUUUAAACGCCGUUCCUAACCGCCAGACAUUUUCUGCAACUUAUCGAUAAAGUGUAUGCUGUUGUGUGGGCUUAAUCACAUUUCCGCGCUCUUUGUCAUUGCCACGACAUGCGCGCUCCCACUUCCGUGAAAGUUUCGAGACGAGAACCUUUUGAGAAGUAGGUGAAUGCAGUUUUGCCUUUCAUAAGAUGCGUGUGAAGCCGCACAGACGCAAACAAGUAAGGCGUGCGCGCACAAACAAAAGCGAGACGAGCUUCAUUGUGACCAUGAAGCGAGACCAGGGCCUGGCCAACAAUGCUUGUGUCAGGCAUUCAGGGACAAAUAAAAAGAAACAUACCGCUUAAUGUCGAGAAGUGCGUCAAUUGUGCGAAUCAAUUCCGAGCGUUCGGGGGUCAGAGUUCUUCUUCGGUGGUGGAAUUUGCGGCUUGAUGUAUUAUUGAUGUAUUGUCAACUUAUAAUUGCAUUGGAUGUCUUGCCGGUGUCACACUAGCGCUUUUACUUUUUUUGUUUUUGUUUCUCCCAAACUUUGAACCGCAGUGAUGCGUGAUUGGUGGCGGCCCAGACAAGAAAAGUAUUUGAAUUCCCUGAGGAACAAUUUCAAGUUUUGGAUGAAUACACGGUGGCAGUCAAAUUUGUACGCUGCUCCGGAACGUCGAGUGAUUCCAGAGAGCACUUAAGCCGCCCGCCAGGCCAGCGAGUCUUGUUUGCAGGUCGUGGACGCUCAUUUCGCUUCGUCACAAUUCUCUCAGGUUGGCCGGGUCAGACAGAACCAGACUAAAGCUCCCCCAAUUUAUUUGAUUUUUGUACCGCGCCUGGACUCCGUCGGAUUUGUACGACUCUCGUUUUGGUGUUUGUUUUGUCGCCGCGUGUGCGUUUAUUUUCCCUAAUGCUCAGUCUUCCGAGUCGACGUCGGAGUGGCGGGCUUUUGUUUUGGAAGGAAUUUGAUAGGAGGUGUCGUUUGCUCUUAGCGUGCUUCCCCCUUUUGCUGCCCUAGAAGUUUUGUCCACUUGAGCGAGACAGGUGAUGAUGAUGUGAUCAGACAGCGUACGCAUACCUGUGCAGGUGCGCACAUGCUCGCCUAGUUACUCACCCAUAACCUACCGGUGUUAUCGCCACAAAUUUGCCCGUGGGAGCGGCGCCAGUCGAAACAUUAAAAAUGCUCGGCCAAAUGUUAAGCUACCGUUGCGAACGUCAACAAAGGUUGCAUGAAAAAAAAAAUAAAAAAUUCAACCAAAAAUAUUUGAUGAAAAAUCAAAUCUAUACCUUGUGCACAAGUUAAUAUUUCAAAAUUAGAAACAUCAGAUGAAAAAUACAAAAUGAUGAGAUGAAAAUAUGACAUAGCAUAGAAUAGUCUGACAAAUGUCACACAUGCUCAGGUAGUUCUUUGUCUAAAAGGGACAACUUGAAGAUCCUGUUAAAAAAACAAAACAAAAAAAAAAACUGACAAGGAAAAGCUUUCAGCGGGAGGCGAGCAUGACGGGGUGAAAAGGAGAAGUGGAUUUGGCGAGAUUAAGGGGGGAUCAUCGUGCUUGAUGGCUCAAUCCUGACGGCAUAUCGGGGGGGAGACGUCCAAACUAAUAACGGCAGAGCGGCCAAAGAUGGCCACGGACGGCUACAAACCAGGCCUAGCGUCCCUUCAUUAGCGAUAUUAGCCGCAUUCGUAUGUCUCGUUAACAUUUUUCUAGUUAGCCCAGCUGCGCCUAGGCACUACUUUGCGUGACAGAUAUUGAAAUCAAAAGCCCCGGCGGUGUGAUUGGCGCUUGACAGGAGCCGCCUUUCCCUCGGCGGGCUCAUUAACGACGAUGACGUUGAAUUUACAGACAAUCCUCGUGCUCCUCAAGAUAAUCUAUCAUGUCUUUUUUUGUGUCAUUGGAACGUUUCUCCAUCUUGCGUCGGAACAAGUUGAAAUUCUUUGGAGGGGGGGGCGGAUCUGGAGCCACCCGGGAAUAACGAUGCUUCCUUCGAGCGUGACUUUCCUUCGGCUUUGUUGCCGCAAUUUAGCCUCACUCUUGUUUUCUGUUUUAUUUUUUUUUCUCUCUGCCCGCAUUUGUAAUGUCUCAUUGUUACUCGACAUUGCGCCUUGAGAUGAUUUUAUGACACGUUGGACUUGGCCAGCUUGGAGUUGUGCUUCUGUGUACAAUAUUUAGAAUUAGAAAUUGAUUUGAAAGUUAGGGUCAGCUUAAGAGUUACCAAAAGUGUUGAGAAGAACCCGGACAAAUCUGUUGAUUCUUGAAACUUCCGGAAGAAGUUGCGGUUUGGAGUCAAGGUAGGCUUGCAGUGAGGUUCUCGGCGUUUGAUUCCAAAAUACUCAAUGGGAGUUUGGCGCAUUUCAGAAUCUCCUGGGCUGCCUCCAUCCGAGGAAUUGAUGAGCCGGCCAGAUGAGCGUGCUCGACAAGCUCCCUUUGGCCGCCGUCGCUAAUGCGAAGCACAUGCCGGCCCGUCGAGCAUCUGCGCACCUGUUGAAGCGCUCUUUGGCCUGAGGCGGGCCGGCCGGAACCGGGUUCAAGCCGGAACGCUUUCACCUGGCCCGCUGCCACCGAGGCCCUCCAGACCUUCUGGUUCCGGACAAAAUGCGGCACCAGCCCUCACUAGUCACUCCCUUACCUGCUCUGGCGUCUAUGGCGUGUCGACGAGCCUCUCCCGCCGUUUUAAUUGCGUCUCAUCGGCGCUGAUGGCUGCAAACUAGAACAUGAAAGGCUCCAGCCUUCUACACGUCGCCCCAGCCGGCUUCAGAGAGCCUAAAAAGGCGAUCGGUGUGCCGCUGCGAGUUCCCUGCCGGAACGAGUUUGAUGGGCUAAUUGUAGCCCCCAGUGGACCAGCAACGCACAUCACAGCAAAAAAAAAUUAAAAAAUGCACCUUUGGAUGGACGUGCCUUUGAUUCUGUCCUUCGAUAUACAGCCGUGCCGUAUUUCUAUAAAUCGUUUUUGUUUUGUUACUUGAGUCGCGUAGGCCUUCCGGUGACACUUUCUCCGUCUGGGCCAUUGGACAACAGGAAUCUCACCCGUCCGCGAUUCCUUUAUGGUCAGUGCAUCUAAUAGGCCCUGCAGACCUUUUUGGCAAACAAUGCAACGCGCAACACAAAGCGGCCUAAAGAAAGCCUCUGCCUGUCCGUCCGUCCGUCUUUUGCGUUUGUUUUCCUUGUUUUUUUUUCUUUUUGCAUCAAAAAGAAAUCAAUACCCAAAACUUCUGAGUGCGCGUAUCAGUUUAUCCUCCCGUCUCUCUUUAGCGUCAUGCCACGGGAGAGAAAAAAGGAGGGGGAGGGCACAAGGAGAUGACACCGGCUCGGAAAGCCGGGAGAAAAUCGAUCGGAGGGAACUCGCUCCCGUCCAUGGAAACGGCGCUACGGGAAGGCAAAAGAGUUGCGAUGGUGAAAAAAACGUUUGUUUGGGUUUUUUUUUUUCUUCCCCCCUCCUCCUUUGCUACUACCCAGGGAGAGAACAUCUGAACAACAUUCUCAAAGAGUUCUUUUGGUGAGGUUGACUUGCGCGCUUAGGCUUUGUUUCAUCCAAGUGUGCACCAGCGCGUGUACAAGUAGCCGGCCGCCUUUGGAAAGACUCCUCGUGGCGUGUUGCGGGCUACUCACUGGACACGCAUGCCCUGCAGGAGGCCGAAUUAUGAAUACAACAUGAGUAAACACACACCUACGUACGUGCCAUUAAAAUAGCGCUCGCCGGGUUUGAAGCAGAAGCAGCCUCCAGCGCCGAGCACUCGACCGCUGCAUCCUGUAAGCCAGGACGUCAACUUCCCGUGAUAGGCAAAAAUGGAAUUUUAAUUUGGCGAGUUAAUAAUGGUCUCAGAUCUGGGCUAGGACUCUCUUUGUUUUGCGCCGUCUGAACUUUGACCUUUAAUAGCUUCUCCUUUAUUUGAUUGGAAUUAGUUUCUUAGCAACCUGAGCACGUGGCUGCCUCCCGCAGGACUGUCCGGGUACUACACAAUUGUUUGCACGAUUGGAAAUUUACGAUUUGAGGAAUGUGCUCUAAUCAGCUUCAUUUUGGAGUGAUUUGCACGCUAAUGUAUUCUUGGAUGCUUGUAGCGUUGACUUCCGUAAUAAAGCCUCUUUCUUCUUUUUUUUUCUUUUUCUUUUUCUCGAGGCAGCUGUGAACAAAGAGCACAAUAGCACGUGCAAGCUCGAACCACAAUUCCCAGCCCGAGCCCCCAAAUGCCAUUCAGUCAGCUGGUAGAGUGACGGUAUGGAAUUGCCUGCUGCGUGGGGGGGGGGGUCAGCGUGACUGUUGGCACGGUUGCCACCUCGCCACUCGGAUGCGGCGGCGAUGCGCCUUCGCCUUUCAUAUUGUCGCCGCUUCCUGUUUUGAAGGAGCAAAAUUUCCUCGCAGAUGAAAAGGCCCGCGCUUUUGAAACGUGUCCAAGCGCAAAUGUGAAAAAAAGGGGGAACGACAGCUGAUCUGUAAACAUCUCCAUCGAGGGGUCGACGGAAAAGGAAUUGUGAGGAGGAGGAGGAGGGAUGGAAAUGAUACAUUCAUUUGCCGUCUUCUUCUUUUGCGUCUAUUUUUUUGUUGUUUUUGAUUCGCCGAUGAAAGCCAGGCGGCGUUUUUUGUUCGGAGCCAGCUGUAUUGCUCUAUUCAGGGUGCGGGGGGCACAGAACCGCACGCGCAGCUUAACCCCCUUCCGAAAAAAUGCUUUGUGACAUCUGCAUCAACGCAGCUCUGCAUUCAACGCAGCCGGCGAAUAUUUAUAGAGCCGUUUGUUUUGUUUUUUUAACCCCGACGCUCUGAUCGCACCCCAAAAAAAAACCUUCAGAGAGGAUAUUUUUCAUCAGCUCUCGCUGGCUGUCACAUUUGUUUAGUGGCCGAUCAGCUGCUGGACACCUCCUCCUCCUUUUUGGUCUUCUCUCACUGACCUCUUAACUGGCUCUAAUGGAGCCUAAUUGUAGCCUUCAGGCGUCGUCAAAGGAAAUGUCGCGAAACAAAGUGUAGCGGGCCGGCCGGUGGCCUCAAAUCCAGACCGGGCCGUCGUUUGCAGAUAAGGCACAAAUUCUGAAAAGGGGCGGCAUCCCAUUUCCCCGCUGGCGCAGCUACUGUAAAUUAGCACUCCCACGCGCUUGCAGCGGCGCCACCUUGGGGCCGAUGGCGAAAUCCGGGAGAGAGGAAUGGCCGGCCGCUCGCCAUGCGGGCCUUUGCCGGCUCGCUGAGCAUUAUCGAUGGAGAGCUGCAGACGGGACCGAGCCGCUGAAACGUGUGUGUGUGUGUGUGUGUGUGAAUGAAAUGCCGGUGACCCCUAAAAGCUGCGACCCGUGAAGAAAAAGGGAGGAGAUAAUCACACUGAGACGAAGUCUUGGGCCUCAUUUGUUCUCUACCUUGUGAGGUCUUAAUCCAGCACAGCCUGCUGCUCUUCAUUUUGACAGCACGUUUACCCCCCCCUCUCCCCCCACGGCAAUCUGCAGUGGGUCCUGCGAACCAAAGAAACCCAGCGUGCCUUUUUUUUUUUUUUGCUCAGGCGUGUCAUAAUGUCCCCAUAAAAGACGGCAAGGGUUUCAUUUUGUGUCUUCUCGCAGAAGAGGCAUAAUUAAGAUAUACAGUCUACUCAAUAUAUAGACUGAAAAUAUAGAGGAGCAGACCAGUGGCAGCCUGUGGUUUUCGUCUUUGGUUCAAGUGUGUGUGUAUGUGUGUGUGUGUGUGUGUGUGUGUGUGUGUGUGUAGUUAGAGCAGCGUGCUAUAAAAGGCUAGCGACUCGAGCUUUUCCCUUUCAGCGUGUCGGGGUCAGCGCCAGCCAAGUGUACACGUAUACAUGCUUGGAUAGAAUUGGUUGGACCUGAAAAGGUGUUUUCGUGAGAAUUUGUGAUUUAUUUUUUUGUCAGGUUUUAUUUUAAAUUUGUGAUUUUUUUUUUUCUCAUUUGGCAAUCGAAUAGCGAUGUUAGUUUGUGCGCAUUGUUUUUUUUUUUUUUAGGAAAACGUAGACAAAAAAGUGGACAAUAAAAAUGGGAAUGCCCUGUCCUAGAGCUCUGCCUAUUGUGGCUCUCAGCCAGGACGCAUCCCUAUGACCCCACACGCACAUUUUUAGUUCUGCCUCAGUUGUUACAGGGCUUUGUGACUUUCUAAUGCUAACUAUCCAUCAAUAGGUGGGCGUCGCCGGUGGCAAUGAAGACGGAUUGAAUGGGUGGCUCCGUAAUUACGGCGGCGGGACCAUUGAACGGGCAGCCGCGCGUCGCCGCCGCGUUAGCGCUCGAUGGCGAGGUCGGAUCCGCGUCGUGUCGUCCCUAAUGGCGAGCGAAAGCGUCCCGUCCCGUCAGUCAUCACUCUCGAGCAUCCCGCUCUCUCUCGGCAAGUAGCUCCAAUUGGCCUCAAGUGUUUGUUUAUAAAACUGGACAUGGCAAAAAAAAAAAAAAACAUCAGUCGGAGCAAUUAACCUCACCUCCGCUCAUUAAAAAUCUCGGCACACAUGAAAGCGCAAAUUUGUCCAAAGUCAUUUGCAAAGUUAGGAUGUGACCAAAUCAUCAGACUCCUUGAAGAGAAGGACCUGCAAAUCCGUCAACAUCUGCGACUCCAAAACUUGUUUUUUUUUAAGCUUGUCAAUUUGUGGCGUUCUCAUUGAAAGUCCAUUUGUGCUAAUCUGGGAAGGACGCUGCCAUAAUUGCGCAAUUUCUUUUUUUCAUUUUGAUAUUUAGUCCCGUAAUGGCUUAAUAGCCCGGAGAGGCGCUCUUGUUUAUUCACACACUUUGUUUUUUGCCCCCCUUUGAAUAAUUGCAGUCCAAAUAAUUACAAAUGUGCCAUUUGGGCAUUUUGGAGUUGAUCUCAUCUUAAAGCUCGCCCGCUAAGUCUGCUACACGGGCUCACGUUAGAAUCACCGAAUUAAAAGCCAAAACAAACACAAAAAGCAAACUAUCCCAAAUUGCGUAGCCGAGUCACGCCGACGGUCCAUUGGAGGCGAGCAAAACAUUUGCGCUUGUUAAAAUGUUUUCUUUGGCCUUUUGUCCGUGCGAGUGUAUCGCUGGCGAGCCUUUUGUCUCGUCUUGAGCCCCAAGGCAAACGGUGGCCCGAAAUCUGAUUAGGCUCCAUUCUAAAGAGCGAUAUUUUCAUCCCGCUGAUUCUCGGCACCGCGUCCCAGCAUCGGGCCGCUUAAUGCCGGGAAAAAGGCCGCUCUUUUGACAGAUAGUAGAUACUCCCCCGCGCGGCUUGUUUGGACGUCGGACGUCUUUUCGCCAGCGACGAGACGACCGAGGAAAUAAAAAGCAUCUAAAUAAUGUCCGCAGAUGAGGAAUCAAUGGGCCGGAGCAAUGCGAUACGCAGCGCGGGCGUCUUCCCUAAAGUCGCUUUUGUGCGGGCCCCUCGGAGAUGUAACUCAAGCAGAAGGAAGCCGCUGACAAUAGCCGCAUUUGGACGCCCAAAAUAGCCUCGGACUUAAGACGGACGGAUGGCUUUAUUGAGUUACGCCGUCGUCAGCCGCGGCGGCGGCGGGCGGGAGGCUUCCGAUUUCACAUUUUAAUGAAACGCGCGGCCGCCGAUCAAUGGCACUGUGAAACACAAGAUUAAAUCAAAUCAAAUGCCAACAGACAAUCAUUUUAUACUCUUUUAUAAAUGCUGAUAUUCCCGUUCUUUCGAUUGGAUUUUUUUCCUUUGUUAAGAAGUUGAAAUCUUGACUCUUUACAAAUGCAGAAUAUUAUUAGUAUACCCUUAAAAAUAUAUUUUUUUACUUGUUUCUAGAUUAUGUACUUUGAAAUGAUAAAGUAGUCAAAUAUUACGUAAAUUGCAAAAUCAAAGUGCAUCUAAAAAUGAAUAUCUAUAAAAUUUUAAAUGAUUCAUUUAUUAUUUCGAUUGAGUAAAAUAUUUAGAAAUUGUUUUAAGGUGCAUUGUGAAAUACAACACAUUUAAUUUCCAAUAAAAAUGAUUUUAGUUUAAAAAAAAAAAUUAGUAUAGGAGAAUAAAUUGGUGGAUAUCAUUUGAACAAAUGCUGUGCUUGUUUACCAAACACACACAGCAGAAGAUGUCUUUGUGAGAUUACGCGCAUCUAAUUCUAUUCCUUUGAAUUUGUUAAUGGCGUUCAUCGUUGCGAGCGCUUUGUUUCCGAAUGCCACAUUUAGGCUACUUUAGCGCAUCAUUUUUUUCUGAAGCGCCUUUAAAAAUAAUCUCGACGGGUUGCGCGCAGGGCGAUGGUGUUGGGUUUCAACUGCUGUGGGGAGUUGUGAUCUCUUCUAAUGAGAAAUAAUAAUAUUAAAAAAAAAAGAAGAAUUCAGCUUUGACACAAAGCGUCUCCGCACUGAGGCGGCCAGAUAGACGGGGGAUUAAAAAAAAAAGGGAGGGGGGGGGGGUUAAAAAACAAUUCUUGGCCAUUUCGAUGAGAUAAAUUUAAUUUCUUUGCUAUUUGGAGGUCUUCUUUGAAAACAGGCAAUCGUAAUGAGCACAUUCAAAACCGGAGAAUAGAUUUCGCCUCCCGCUUCAAAUGAGCCGGCGUUAUCGGCGUCCGUCAUUCGCGCUUUCCCAUUUUCCAGCUGCUAAUUGAUGUUUUUGAUGUCGACUGGGGAAAAUUUGAAGCAAAUGUCAUGUGUGAACCGGCGCGGAAGUUAAUAAGAUUGACUCCGUCGGGCCGAGGCCGCAACCAACGCGGAAUGGGGAAAGGGGGGGCGGCGAAUUUUCUUCGUCCGUCUGGCGAGGAGUGAAAUUGACACUGUCGGACAAAGAAUUUCACCCGCCCGCAAAUAGAAAGUGUUUGCUUUUUCUCCUUAGCCCAAUGUUUUCUUCCCGAUUGGGGCUUCGAGUUUUUUUUCAUUUUAACUUUGGAACAAUCCACAUUUUUAAUGCUGUUUUGAGUUUGAAAAGCCGCAGUGCUUCAUAAAGGCUGAGCUUAGGAAAACAACAAAAAAGAAAAUGCGGCGAUAUAAGUCGGGGUCAGCGCAUCUGCUCGGCCGACCUUAAAUCCCUUCCGAAUAAAAGAAGUGCCACCGAGCUCGUACCAUCUUGCGCCAUUUAGUCAGCUCUGGCGGCUAGCCAAACACAAACGCGUUACAAAUUAAAAAAAAAAAACACUUAAAAAGUAAAAAAAUAUAUAUAUAUUUUUGCUACGUUUAUAUUCAUUUAGUAACACUAAAAUCGAUGCGAUUGUCAUCUGGAUUAUUUCGCUUGGCUGCAUUUUUUCUAGCCUAAAUGGGCCACGACCCCCUCCGGUCACUUUUCUUUUUGAAACUCAAAAAAACAAAAAGUAGCCUCUGCUUGCGUUGAGCCCUUGGAGGAUCGCGGAUAAGCGACAUUAUUCUCAGAAUAGGCAAUUAAUUCCUCUGGCAACGAUCGGUUGGAGUGUUGCCCCCCCACCCUCUCGCCCUCCCCUCCCUCCCUCCAUUCGCCAUUUGAAAUGCUAACACAAUGAAAUAUUUUUCUAUUGGUCGGCGUCCCCUCGGUUAAGCCGCCACCGGCCGCCGGCGAAGAAUUUCAUCGACUGAUGAGACCACAGGCGUGCCCGAUAAAAAGGUUAACUGUACGUGACACGCACACCGAGUAGCCCCCCCAUCCCUUCGCCCUCGCCGCUACCUUGAACUCGCAAGUUCGCCGUAACUUUUGUUUGACUUUUGCCACGUUGUUGCCGACAGCGCUUGUUUGCUCAUGAACACUUUUUUCCCUCCAAAUUAAAAUUGUUAAAUGACGGCGGUUAAAACGGGAACGUAAGCGGCCUUUAUGGGUCCAUUGUGUUGCCGUAAAUUUACCAGAACGUACUUGAGAUACGAGCAGAAUUGGUUUAGUCUUUUUUGGGUUGCCGUAGUUUCCUAUGAGCAAGUGAUGUGGCUUUAUGGUGGUAGAUUGACGUGUUGCUUUUGACUGCAAUGUAUAUUUGAUGUUGUAGAUUCCCAUCUUGCGUGUUGUGCAGCUUCAGGCUCAAUUGUGGCGCCGCUCCCGCGACUCUACGUUUUGCCGUUACACAACCCGCCAUCGUGUGUUUCUCGCCGCCUUUGUGUUUCCUUAUCUGGGUUGUGCUGCGCGUGCAUAGUGUG